UACGGAGGGGGCUAGCGUUGUUCGGAAUUACUGGGCGUAAAGCGCACGUAGGCGGCUUUGUAAGUUAGAGGUGAAAGCCCAGGGCUUAACCCUGGAAUUGCCUUUAAGACUGCAUCGCUAGAAUCGUGGAGAGGUGAGUGAAAUUCCGAGUGUAGAGGUGAAAUUCGUAGAUAUUCGGAAGAACACCAGUGGCGAAGGCGACUCACUGGACACGUAUUGACGCUGAGGUGCGAAAGCGUGGGGAGCAAACAGG
rnacentral:rRNA from 1 species